rnacentral:rRNA from 1 species
AUUGAACGCUGGCGGCAGGCCUAACACAUGCAAGUCGAACGAGUGGCGGACGGGUGAGUAAUGUCUGGGAAACUGCCUGAUGGAGGGGGAUAACUACUGGAAACGUUAGCUAAUACCGCAUACCAUCAGAUGUGCCCAGAUGGGAUUAGCUUGGUGGUGGGGUAACGGCUCACCAAGGCGACGAUCCCUAGCUGGUCUGAGAGGAUGACCAGCCAAAAUGGAACUGAGACAGGGUCCAGACUCCUACGGGAGGCAGCAGUGGGGAAUAUUGAACAAUGGGCGCAAGCCUGAUUGAGCCAUGCCGCGUGUAUGAAGAAGGCCUUCGGGUUGUAAAGUACUUUCAGCGGGGAGGAGUUACCCGCAGAAGAAGCAACGGCUAACUCCGUGCCAGCAGCCGCGGUAAUUG